rnacentral:lncRNA from 1 species
AUUUAUUCAUUUAAUUCCAAGCCCAAAUCUUCAAGUUUCAAAAAUAUAUUUAAAAAUUCAUUAUUACUACCAAAUAAAAGAUGCAAUCAAAAAUGUACAAUCUAACUGAACAGACACUUCACAGAUGAAAUACAAAUAAGCAAUAAAUACACGAAAAAAUGUUCAGCAUCUCUAGCCAUGGGAGAAAUGUGAAUCAAAACAAUACUGAGGUGGUCAAGAAGUAAGCAAUUUUGAAAGUGCAUAAGAGAAAGUAGUAGGAGGGAAGGAUAUUCCACAUCUCUGCAUAGCCUUAGAUAUAACUUAAUGUGCAGGAAAGAUCAGGUAAUUUAAAAGUUAGGUAAGGAUAGGAGAAGGGACAGAAAAGAAUGUACCACUGAAUUGGAGUGGCCUUAGGCAUAGCGUGGAGGAGAGACUCUCUCCCUAGAAUGUGAUCCAUAAAAAUUGAGCACAUGUAGAUAGAAGAGGUGGGAGACCAGUCUGGGAAAGCUUUGUAGGGUUACAAAGUACAUUUUCCCCAUCUCUAAGUGUAUCAUAUUGUUCUCACUUUACCCUGCCUCUUCCCCAUAGACCUGAACAGAUGGUGUUUUGUGAUGUCAUAGUUUCUCUGCACAUCCAGGGCUACCAUUGUUUGGUGCCUUGCUGACCAAAGAAAGCACAAGGGCGUGGCCACCUUAGGGAGAGGUAUACAAACAGAGGUCAGGUCCACCCGGGGCAGACCACUGGGAGGAACUCUGCUAGGAACCAUGGCGAGAUAUUCACCUAGGAAGUGGGGACAGCAUAGAGCUACUGAAAACGUGGAACAAAGACCACUCCUGAGAAGGAAGACAAGGGCGAUCUCAGCACCCAAAUUUCAGGGCAAGGUGAGCAAGAAUUCAAGCAGGGCGAAGAAAGCCAGGACAUCAAAGAAAAUUACUCCCCAGGUGGUCCCACUCGCCAUGGUGACCCGACAAGAUGGGAAGCAGCAACGAGUAUUGGCCUGUGGCACCAACAGGAUGAGAAACCCAAGCAAGAUGUGCCAGAGCAGGAGUGCAUCCAUGGGAGAACAUAGACGUCCCCAGGGAGCCCCACGCAUGCUGCCCCCGAAAUCGCAGGCCAAGAGGGUUCGGAAGAGGACCGCCCGAGGACGGAGAACCUCAUCCUCACGGAAGAUGAUCCCAGAGUCCCGUGGCCAGAGAGGCCGCAAACCUCCUUCUAAUCUGAGACGUGGCCCUCGGUCUGUGGACCGCUACUGAACAACUGAGGUAGUCCCCAGAUUCUACACCAACAAUUUCCAGUGAUGGUGCAAUAAAAUCUACCUCUGGGAACCUGCGAAUAUGUGUCUGUGUGUUGUCUGAGCUAGGGAGGAAGAGAGAAAACGUGGAAGGGAACAGCAGGAGAGGGUGGGAAGGGAGGAAGGAGGGAUCCUCCUCCCACUGAUGGAAAUUUGAAAAAGGAAGAGGGAGUGAGGCUGUCAGGGAAGAAGGA